rnacentral:lncRNA from 1 species
GCCGCCAUUUUGGAAGUGGCCCACCACCAUCUUGGGAGCUCUGGGAGCAAGGACCACCUGGUAACAAUAGGCCAAAUACUGUGCUGAUAAGUUAUUGCUCAAUGUUCAGACUCUUGCUUCAAGAUCAACUGAAGUGCUUUCUUGAAAGCCUGCCCUGAAUCCUCAUCUAUUGAUGGAGAUGGUGUCAUCUUGCCUUGAUUGUAUCCAGAAGCUUCAUCCCCAAGAUAAAGGAUGGACAUCUCUCCGAUGACCAGCUUCUUUUGCUCGACUCUAGAGAAGGUUGCUUUCUGCAUUCUGGCAACUGCCCUCUGUCUACAUGAUUAGACUCGUUGGUUGCAGUGCUUUCUGGAGUAAUGAAGGGAUCCAGUGCACAGGGUUUAACUUACUGGGCACAAUCUCUAAGCCAACUCUGCCUGAAUGGGUCCCCUGUUUUUUCUCUUCUGCUCUUGUUGAACCAUAUCUCUGUUCCUUGUGCUCCUGGGAAUUUCUUGCUCUGGUCAUGAAAAAAAUGGAAACUCUCUCAAGGAAUAACAAUCAGAGCUGUCUGGUUGACAAGGGACAUUAUGGUUGCAAGAAGACCCUGAAGCAAGGAUUCUACAUCAAAGAUUCAGGGGCAAUCUGAGUUUGCAUUUAAGAUCCUUCUGCCUAUAGCAGUAGCUUAUAUGUUAUGUUCAAUUGACGUAUAAGCACUGUGAAGAAAUAUUCUAUUACAACCUCUUAUGACAUUAGCAUUGUAUAUUUCAGAAUGUAAUUGUAGACAGAAAGUUGGUAUAUUUAAUUCAAAUUAUGAUUAUUCUUUAAAAACAAAACUUGAAAAUUCAGUUUAUCUACAUAAUUGGCUUAAGUAUUUGUUGCAUGCCUAUUCCAUACCAAGCAAUGAGCAAGGUGUUAUAAAAUAAAACAUACAAAAACUAUG